UGAGUCGAACUGAAACAUCUAAGUACCCCGAGGAGAAGAAAUCAACCGAGAUUCCGGUAGUAGCGGCGAGCGAACCUGGAUUAGCCCUUAAGCACUCGGUGAAGUAGGUGAACAAGCUGGAAAGCUUGGCGAUACAGGGUGAUAGCCCCGUAACCGACGCUUCAUCGAGCGUGAAAUCGAGUAGGGCGGGACACGUGAUAUCCUGUCUGAAUAUGGGGGGACCAUCCUCCAAGGCUAAAUACUCCUGACUGACCGAUAGUGAACCAGUACCGUGAGGGAAAGGCGAAAAGAACCCCUGUGAGGGGAGUGAAAUAGAACCUGAAACCGUGUACGUACAAGCAGUAGGAGCACCUUCGUGGUGUGACUGCGUACCUUUUGUAUAAUGGGUCAGCGACUUAUAUUCAGUGGCAAGGUUAACCGUAUAGGGGAGCCGUAGCGAAAGCGAGUCUUAACUGGGCGCUCAGUCUCUGGAUAUAGACCCGAAACCGGGUGAUCUAGCCAUGGGCAGGUUGAAGGUUGAGUAACAUCAACUGGAGGACCGAACCGACUAAUGUUGAAAAAUUAGCGGAUGACUUGUGGCUAGGGGUGAAAGGCCAAUCAAACUCGGAGAUAGCUGGUUCUCCCCGAAAGCUAUUUAGGUAGCGCCUCGGACGAAUACUACUGGGGGUAGAGCACUGUUAAGGCUAGGGGGUCAUCCCGACUUACCAACCCUUUGCAAACUCCGAAUACCAGUAAGUACUAUCCGGGAGACACACGGCGGGUGCUAACGUCCGUCGUGGAGAGGGAAACAACCCAGACCGCCAGCUAAGGUCCCAAAGUAUUGCUAAGUGGGAAACGAUGUGGGAAGGCUCAGACAGCUAGGAUGUUGGCUUAGAAGCAGCCAUCAUUUAAAGAAAGCGUAAUAGCUCACUAGUCGAGUCGGCCUGCGCGGAAGAUGUAACGGGGCUAAGCAAUACACCGAAGCUGCGGCAAUGCCUUUUAGGUAUUGGGUAGGGGAGCGUUCUGUAAGCCGUUGAAGGUGGUCUGUAAGGGCUGCUGGAGGUAUCAGAAGUGCGAAUGCUGACAUGAGUAACGACAAAGGGGGUGAAAAACCUCCUCGCCGGAAGACCAAGGGUUCCUGUCCAACGUUAAUCGGGGCAGGGUGAGUCGACCCCUAAGGUGAGGCCGAAAGGCGUAAUCGAUGGGAAACGGGUUAAUAUUCCCGUACUUCUGACUAUUGCGAUGGGGGGACGGAGAAGGCUAGGUGGGCCAGGCGACGGUUGUCCUGGUUCAAGUGCGUAGGCUUAAGAGUUAGGUAAAUCCGGCUCUUUCUAAGGCUGAGACACGACGUCGAGCUGCUACGGCAGUGAAGUCAUUGAUGCCAUGCUUCCAGGAAAAGCCUCUAAGCUUCAGAUAGUCAGGAAUCGUACCCCAAACCGACACAGGUGGUCGGGUAGAGAAUACCAAGGCGCUUGAGAGAACUCGGGUGAAGGAACUAGGCAAAAUGGUACCGUAACUUCGGGAGAAGGUACGCUCUUGAUGGUGAAGUCCCUUGCGGAUGGAGCUGACGAGAGUCGCAGAUACCAGGUGGCUGCAACUGUUUAUUAAAAACACAGCACUGUGCAAAAUCGCAAGAUGACGUAUACGGUGUGACGCCUGCCCGGUGCCGGAAGGUUAAUUGAUGGGGUUAGCGCAAGCGAAGCUCUUGAUCGAAGCCCCGGUAAACGGCGGCCGUAACUAUAACGGUCCUAAGGUAGCGAAAUUCCUUGUCGGGUAAGUUCCGACCUGCACGAAUGGCGUAAUGAUGGCCACGCUGUCUCCACCCGAGACUCAGUGAAAUUGAAAUCGCUGUGAAGAUGCAGUGUACCCGCGGCUAGACGGAAAGACCCCGUGAACCUUUACUACAGCUUGGCACUGAACAUUGAACCUACAUGUGUAGGAUAGGUGGGAGGCUAUGAAGACGUGACGCUAGUUGCGUUGGAGCCGUCCUUGAAAUACCACCCUUGUAUGUUUGAUGUUCUAACUUAGCCCCAUUAUCUGGGGUGAGGACAGUGCCUGGUGGGUAGUUUGACUGGGGCGGUCUCCUCCCAAAGAGUAACGGAGGAGCACGAAGGUGGGCUAAUCACGGUUGGACAUCGUGAGGUUAGUGCAAUGGCAUAAGCCCGCUUAACUGCGAGAAUGACGGUUCGAGCAGGUGCGAAAGCAGGUCAUAGUGAUCCGGUGGUUCUGUAUGGAAGGGCCAUCGCUCAACGGAUAAAAGGUACUCCGGGGAUAACAGGCUGAUACCGCCCAAGAGUUCAUAUCGACGGCGGUGUUUGGCACCUCGAUGUCGGCUCAUCACAUCCUGGGGCUGAAGUCGGUCCCAAGGGUAUGGCUGUUCGCCAUUUAAAGUGGUACGCGAGCUGGGUUUAGAACGUCGUGAGACAGUUCGGUCCCUAUCUGCCGUGGGCGUUGGAAGAUUGAAGGGGGCUGCUCCUAGUACGAGAGGACCGGAGUGGACGAACCUCUGGUGUUCGGGUUGUGUCGCCAGACGCAUUGCCCGGUAGCUAAGUUCGGAAUUGAUAAGCGCUGAAAGCAUCUAAGCGCGAAGCGAGCCCUGAGAUGAGUCUUCCCUGAUACUUUAAGUAUCCUAAAGGGUUGUUCGAGACUAGAACGUUGAUAGGCAGGGUGUGUAAGCGUUGUGAGGCGUUGAGCUAACCUGUACUAAUUGCCCGUGAGGCUUAACCA
rnacentral:rRNA from 1 species